UGAGGAAUAUUGGUCAAUGGACGGAAGUCUGAACCAGCCAAGUAGCGUGCAGGAUGACGGCCCUAUGGGUUGUAAACUGCUUUUAUGUGGGAAUAAAGUCAGGGACGUGUCCCUGUUUGCAUGUACCACAGGAAUAAGGACCGGCUAAUUCCGUGCCAGCAGCCGCGGUAAUACGGAAGGUCCGGGCGUUAUCCGGAUUUAUUGGGUUUAAAGGGAGCGUAGGCCGGAGGGUAAGCGUGUUGUGAAAUGCAGUUGCUCAACAUCUGCACUGCAGCGCGAACUGUUCUCCUUGAGUGCGCAGGAAUAGGCGGAAUUCGUCGUGUAGCGGUGAAAUG
rnacentral:rRNA from 1 species